rnacentral:misc_RNA from 1 species
CAACCUUCAAGCUCUGCUUGGUAUUGGGCCACGCCAGUGAUGGCGAGCCUUAAAAUCAGUGGCGGCGCCGCUGGGCCCUGAGCGUAGUAACUACUCCUCGCUACUGGGUCCCGGUGGAUGCUUGCCAUCAACCCCCAAUUUUUCUAU